CUGUUUUUGGGGUGGCGGAGACGGACGGGGAACGGACUUGGAGAGUGAGGGGGCGGAGGAGAUAGACUUUUGCGGAGAGGAAUAGACUUUUGCGGAGGAGAGAGAGUAUCGACCUGGAGGAACGGGUGAGAGGAGUGAUUUUAUCGAAGCUUCGAGGGGGCCGUUGGGGAUUAUUGGAUCACUGAGGAGCGUCUGCAGCCCGCGUCUUCCAGAACCCAGGAGUGGUACAAAACAGAAGCAGACAAUGACCGAUGGUGAGAUGGACUGCAUUGUCGAAGAACUCCAGGCUCUCGAUAUCCUAAAUCCAGAAACUCCUGUCCAGAUGAAGGCACCUGAGGAAUCUGAAGGCUCGUCUACUGGAAAAAUCCUCCCCUACAUCUGAAAUCAUCUCAGCAAAUCAUGGCUCUGUAACAUCGACUUCACGCCAUGCCGGUCAAUGUCAAAGCCAAGUAAGUUUUACCCCCACGCCUCGUCGUCAGAGUGAUGACAUCAACGACGAAGAACUUGGCCUGUUUCAGCUAUGCAGGUGGGGUGUUAAGGCUAGAUUGCCUCCAUUGGCAUAGGCCUGCAGGUGCAAAAUUCUGUCUAUAAAUUGUUUGUGCCUGAGAUGGAAUCAGAGAUCAACAUGGCUGGUAGAAAAUAACAAAGCCCAGUGUUUGAGUAUUUUUAAAGGCAAUAUUGACAAUAUCUGGCUGAAAAGCUUCUGCGAGGGACAAAACAUCAGGUUCAUAGACAACUGGGAUCUUUUCUGGGAGAGGCUGCGAUUCUUCAAGCAGGAUGGUCUGCACCCUAAUAGUUUCAGCGCCCAUGUCCUCUCUGAAAACAUCUCUAAGCACUGUGAUGUCCCAAUAUUGAUGGAUUAAAAGCCAGAAG